AUUGAACGCUGGCGGCAGGCCUAACACAUGCAAGUCGAACGAGUGGCGGACGGGUGAGUAAUGUCUGGGAAACUGCCUGAUGGAGGGGGAUAACUACUGAAAACGGUAGCUAAUCCCGCAUACCAUCGGAUGUGCCCAGAUGGGAUUAGGUAGUAGGUGGGGUAAAGGCUCACCUAGGCGAAGAUUCCUAGCUGGUCUGAGAGGAUGACCAGCCACACUGUAACGUAGACACGGUCCAGGCUCCUACGGUAGGCAGAAGUGGGGAAUAUUGCACAUUGGGCGCAAGCCUGAUGUAGCCAUGCCGCGUGUAUGAAGAAGGCCUUCGGGUUGUAAAGUACUUUCAGCGGGGAGGCGUUACCCGCAGAAGAAGCACCGGCUAACUCCGUGCCAGCAGCCGCGGUAAUAC
rnacentral:rRNA from 1 species